AUAUCUGGAACACAUUACGAUAUCUUAUGCACAUUAACGUGUAAUGUACAUAAACAAUAAGAGGAUAAUCUCUCUUUGUGGAUUAUGCGCAGAAAUGCAACUGGUGUGAUAGGCGACGAAAAAUUAAAUAUCGAUAUGACAAUAUUUACAUUGUCUAUAAAAUGGAAUGCAAGAUGUCCAAAAGAUUCGCACCAAGCAUUCGAAGAAGAUGUGUUCUCGAAGAUCCGGCCAAUCGCAAAAAAUAUAUGAUUGCAAAUUAACACAAGCACAAACACUUUUUUUCUUCAUAUUUUUAUUUAAAACUGAAUUCAAGGAAACAAACCAAGUUAGGAGAAAAGAAAUUUAAAAACUACGAUUUUUCUCUGUCAUAUCUCUCCAAUUUGAGGAAACAUUCAGGACGUCCGGAAAGGAACGUGUCCUGGAAAUCCGGAAAAGAUCCAGUCAUCCUGUCAAGUUCAAUAGCUGGGGCAAACACAACGUUUGGAUUUGCACUUACCCCGGAAU